GAUGAACGCUGGCGGCGUGCCUAAUACAUGCAAGUCGAGCGAACAGAUGAGGAGCUUGCUCCUCUGACGUUAGCGGCGGACGGGUGAGUAACGCGUGGGAACAUGCCCUUUGGUGCGGAAUAGCCCCGGGAAACUGGGAGUAAUACCGCAUGUGCCCUUCGGGGGAAAGAUUUAUCGCCAAAGGAUUGGCCCGCGUUGGAUUAGGUAGUUGGUGGGGUAAUGGCCUACCAAGCCGACGAUCCAUAGCUGGUUUGAGAGGAUGAUCAGCCACACUGGGACUGAGACACGGCCCAGACUCCUACGGGAGGCAGCAGUGGGGAAUCUUAGACAAUGGGCGCAAGCCUGAUCUAGCCAUGCCGCGUGAUCGAUGAAGGCCUUAGGGUUGUAAAGAUCUUUCAGUGGGGAAGAUAAUGACGGUACCCACAGAAGAAGCCCCGGCUAACUCCGUG
rnacentral:rRNA from 1 species